rnacentral:snoRNA from 2 species
CCCCUCUCAAGGUCUCACCCGGAGAGUUUGCAGCACUCUACUAGUCUUGGCUACGGGAGGGAGAAUCAAGCAGAGGCCUACCCAUUCCAUUCCUAGCUUGGCCAGUGGCUAGCGAGUGGAAGGGAAUCUGCUACAAGU